rnacentral:rRNA from 1 species
GUACGGAAGGCAGCAGUGGGGAAUCUUGCGCAAUGGCCGAAAGGCUGACGCAGCGACGCCGCGUGUGGGAGGACGCCCUUCGGGGUGUAAACCACUGUUGCCCGGGACGAACAUCUGGUUUCGACCAGACUGACGGUACCGGGUGAGGAAGCACCGGCUAACUCCGUGCCAGCAGCCGCGGUAAUACGGAGGGUGCGAGCGUUGUCCGGAAUCACUGGGCGUAAAGGGCGCGUAGGCGGCGCGGAUAGUCGGCGGUGAAAGCCCGGAGCUCAACUCCGGGUCGGCCGUCGAUACUUCCGGGCUUGAGCACUGUAGAGGCAGAUGGAAUUCCGGGUGUAGCGGUGGAAUGCGUAGAGAUCCGGAAGAACACCGGUGGCGAAGGCGGUCUGCUGGGCAGUUGCUGACGCUGAUGCGCGACAGCGUGGGGAGCAAACAGGAUUAGAUACCCCGGUAGU